rnacentral:rRNA from 1 species
ACGGGCCCGCACAAGCAGCGGAGCGUGUGGUUUAAUUCGAUGCAAACGCGAAGAACCUUUACCAGGGUUUGACAUGACUUGAAGUAGAAACUCGAAAGAGGGACGACCUGUAUCCAAUCAGGAACAUGCACAGGUGCUGCAUGGCUGUCGUCAGCUCGUGCCGUGAGGUGUUAGGUUAAGUCCUGCAACGAGCGCAACCCUCGUCGCUAGUUAAUUUCUCUAGCGAUACUGCCCGUAUAACGUGGAGGAAGGUGGGGAUGACGUCAAGUCAGCAUGGCCCUUACAUCCUGGGCUACACACACGCUACAAUGGGUGAUACAACAGGUUGCAAUAGAGUGAUCUGGAGCCCAAUCCAAAAAAUCAUCCUCAGUUCGGAUUGUAGGCUGAAACUGCCUACAUGAAGUUGGAGUUGCUAGUAAACGCAGGUCAGCACACUGCGUUGAAUACGUUCUCGGGCCUU